CCUGCCCGGUCCUCGGGCCGGUGCCCGGGCUCUGGCUCCGUGUCUUCACUCCCGUGUCUGUCCGAGGAGGGAGGGAGGGACGGGGGCUGUGCUGGGGCAGCCGGAAAGGCACAGGUCACCGGG
rnacentral:pre_miRNA from 13 species